rnacentral:rRNA from 1 species
AGUGAACGCUGGCGGUAGGCCUAACACAUGCAAGUCGAACGGCAGCACAGUAAGAGCUUGCCCUUACGGGUGGCGAGUGGCGGACGGGUGAGGAAUACAUCGGAAUCUACUUUUUCGUGGGGGAUAACGUAGGGAAACUUACGCUAAUACCGCAUACGACCUACGGGUGAAAGCAGGGGAUCUUCGGACCUUGCGCGAUUGAAUGAGCCGAUGUCGGAUUAGCUAGUUGGCGGGGUAAAGGCCCAUCAAGGCGACGAUCCGUAGCUGGUCUGAGAGGAUGAUCAGCCACACUGGAACUGAGACACGGUCCAGACUCCUACGGGAGGCAGCAGUGGGGAAUAUUGGACAAUGGGCGCAAGCCUGAUCCAGCCAUACCGCGUGGGUGAAGAAGGCCUUCGGGUUGUAAAGCCCUUUUGUUGGGAAAGAAAAGCAGCAGGUUAAUACCCCGCUGUUCUGACGGUACCCAAAGAAUAAGCACCGGCUAACUUCGUG